rnacentral:rRNA from 1 species
GCUUAACACAUGCAAGUCGAGGGGCAGCAUGGUCUUAGCUUGCUAAGGCCGAUGGCGACCGGCGCACGGGUGAGUAACACGUAUCCAACCUGCCGUCUACUCUUGGACAGCCUUCUGAAAGGAAGAUUAAUACAAGAUGGCAUCAUGAGUCCGCAUGUUCACAUGAUUAAAGGUAUUCCGGUAGACGAUGGGGAUGCGUUCCAUUAGAUAGUAGGCGGGGUAACGGCCCACCUAGUCUUCGAUGGAUAGGGGUUCUGAGAGGAAGGUCCCCCACAUUGGAACUGAGACACGGUCCAAACUCCUACGGGAGGCAGCAGUGAGGAAUAUUGGUCAAUGGGCGAGAGCCUGAGCCAGCCAAGUAGCGUGAAGGAUGACUGCCCUAUGGGUUGUAAACUUCUUUUAUAAAGGAAUAAAGUCGGGUAUGGAUACCCGUUUGCAUGUACUUUAUGAAUAAGGAUCGGCUAACUCCGUGCCAGCAGCCGCGGUAAUACGGAGGAUCCGAGCGUUAUCCGGAUUUAUUGGGUUUAAAGGGAGCGUAGAUGGAUGUUUAAGUCAGUUGUGAAAGUUUGCGGCUCAACCGUAAAAUUGCAGUUGAUACUGGAUAUCUUGAGUGCAGUUGAGGCAGGCGGAAUUCGUGGUGUAGCGGUGAAAUGCUUAGAUAUCACGAAGAACUCCGAUUGCGAAGGCAGCCUGCUAAGCUGCAACUGACAUUGAGGCUCGAAAGUGUGGGUAUCAAACAGGAUUAGAUACCCUGGUAGUCCACACGGUAAACGAUGAAUACUCGCUGUUUGCGAUAUACUGCAAGCGGCCAAGCGAAAGCGUUAAGUAUUCCACCUGGGGAGUACGCCGGCAACGGUGAAACUCAAAGGAAUUGACGGGGGCCCGCACAAGCGGAGGAACAUGUGGUUUAAUUCGAUGAUACGCGAGGAACCUUACCCGGGCUUAAAUUGCAGAUGAAUUACGGUGAAAGCCGUAAGCCGCAAGGCAUCUGUGAAGGUGCUGCAUGGUUGUCGUCAGCUCGUGCCGUGAGGUGUCGGCUUAAGUGCCAUAACGAGCGCAACCCUUGUUGUCAGUUACUAACAGGUUCCGCUGAGGACUCUGACAAGACUGCCAUCGUAAGAUGUGAGGAAGGUGGGGAUGACGUCAAAUCAGCACGGCCCUUACGUCCGGGGCUACACACGUGUUACAAUGGGGGGUACAGAGGGCCGCUACCACGCGAGUGGAUGCCAAUCCCCAAAACCUCUCUCAGUUCGGACUGGAGUCUGCAACCCGACUCCACGAAGCUGGAUUCGCUAGUAAUCGCGCAUCAGCCACGGCGCGGUGAAUACGUUCCCGGGCCUUGUACACACCGCCCGUCAAGCUAUGGGAGCCGGGGGUACCUGAAGUGCGUAACCGCGAGGAGCGCCCUAGGGUAAAACUGGUGACUGGGGCUAAGUCGUA